AUGACAUGGUUCGGAGUUAUCGAUUUUUACAUGAUGUUAAGAAGAAAAACAAUCAAGAUGCAGGGUACAACUCAAAUCACGAAUAAGUGCAGAUUGGGCAGUAAGAUUGCAAGUUUCACUUGAUUCAAGAAUACAUGCAUACAGUGACAUGAAUCAUGAAUAUAUAAUUUUCAUAUUUAAACAUUCUUCUUUGGCGAUGAGUCACCAUCGUCCAUCUACGUUAUCUAUUUGCCUCUUUCCACUGUUCUUCAUAUAGGCUGUCGUCUUCACCGCUUCUUUGUUCGAGGUUGAGUUUUAUUCCUUCGAAUCUGACAAUAUGGUUAUGUACCGUGUUACUCGAUGUGAAGGAGUAUGUGCAAUCUCAGAUUUUGACUCCACUAUCUCCACUGAUUUUGAAGCUUCUCCUUUGUUUAUACCCUCUUUAGAAGACAACGAUAAUCUCCGUCUCGGUGCUGCCACUUGAUGACACUCGCGUUCUGUUUGCUGGAUAAAGAUUGAACCCAUGGGUAAUGGUCGAUUUGGAAUACCUAUUAUUGGUGAAUCCGACAUCCCAAUAUUUUCGGAACAAGAAGCCAUUAAUCAAUUGAAAAGACCAAAUAAUAUUAUGUAAACUCGCGAAUGUGCGAUUGCGUUAAACUACUACUCAAAAAGGGAUUUUAUAUUCAAGAACAUAAACCCUAUUUUCAGCAACAUCGUAUGGUAAAGUUCGAUUCUUUGGUGUUUGGAUAGAUGCUGCUGAUUUCACAGUAUGUGUGCUGAUUUUGAGUGAUGUGUGGUUUCUGUAUUCCUUGAAUUGAGGAUUUCGAUUUGGCUCAAAGAAGAUGAUGACUGAGAUAUGGAGUAUUGUUUGAUGACAGGGAAUUAGU
rnacentral:lncRNA from 1 species